GGGUAGGACANCCCGCUAGACUUAAGCAUAUCAAUAA
rnacentral:rRNA from 1 species